rnacentral:rRNA from 1 species
UUCUGAGAGGAUGAUCAGCCACAUUGGGGACUGAGACCCCGCCCCGAAUUCCUACCGGGAGGCAGCAGUGGGGAAUAUUGGACAAUGGGCGAAAGCCUGAUCCAAGCCAUGCCGCGUGUGUGAAGAAGGCCUUCGGGGUUGUAAAGCACUUUCAGUGGGGAAGAAAGCCUUGGGGCUAAUACCCUCGAGGAAGGACAUCACCCACCAGAAGAAGCACCGGCUAACUCCGUGCCAGCAGCCGCGGUAAUACGGAGGGUGCGAGCGUUAAUCGGAAUUACUGGGCGUAAAGCGCGCGUAGGCGGUCUGAUAAGCCGGUUGUGAAAGCCCCGGGCUCAACCUGGGAACGGCAUCCGGAACUGUCAGGCUAGAGUGCAGGAGAGGAAGGUAGAAUUCCCGGUGUAGCGGUGAAAUGCGUAGAGAUCGGGAGGAAUACCAGUGGCGAAGGCGGCCUUCUGGACUGACACUGACGCUGAGGUGCGAAAGCGUGGGUAGCAAACAGGAUUAGAUACCCUGGUAGUCCACGCCGUAAACGAUGUCGACUAGCCGUUGGGCUCCUUGAGACCUUUGUGGCGCAGUUAACGCGAUAAGUCGACCGCCUGGGGAGUACGGCCGCAAGGUUAAAACUCAAAUGAAUUGACGGGGGCCCGCACAAGCGGUGGAGCAUGUGGUUUAAUUCGAUGCAACGCGAAGAACCUUACCUACCCUUGACAUCGUGCGAACUUUCCAGAGAUGGAUUGGUGCCUUCGGGAACGCACAGACAGGUGCUGCAUGGCUGUCGUCAGCUCGUGUUGUGAAAUGUUGGGUUAAGUCCCGUAACGAGCGCAACCCUUGUCCUUAUUUGCCAGCGAGUAAUGUCGGGAACUCUAAGGAGACUGCCGGUGACAAACCGGAGGAAGGUGGGGACGACGUCAAGUCAUCAUGGCCCUUACGGGUAGGGCUACACACGUGCUACAAUGGCCGGUACAAAGGGUUGCGAAGCCGCGAGGUGGAGCUAAUCCCGAAAAGCUGGUCUCAGUCCGGAUCGGAGUCUGCAACUCGACUCCGUGAAGUCGGAAUCGCUAGUAAUCGUGAAUCAGAAUGUCACGGUGAAUACGUUCCCGGGCCUUGUACACACCGCCCGUCACAC